UGGGGAAUAUUGCACAAUUGGCGCAAGCCUGAUGCAGCCAUGCCGCGUGUAUGAAGAAGGCCUUCGGGUUGUAAAGUACUUUCAGCGGGGAGGAAGGGAGUAAAGUUAAUACCUUUACUCAUUGACGUUACCCGCAGAAGAAGCACCGGCUAACUCCGUGCCAGCAGCCGCGGUAAUACGGAGGGUGCAAGCGUUAAUCGGAAUUACUGUGCGUAAAGCGCACGCAGGCGGUUUGUUAAGUCAGAUGUGAAAUCCCCGGGCUCAACCUGGGAACUGCAUCGGAUACUGGCAAGCUUGAGUCUCGUAGAGGGGGGUAGAAUUCCAGGUGUAGCGGUGAAAUGCGUAGAGAUCUGGAGGAAUACCGGUGGCGAAGGCGGCCCCCUGGACGAAGACUGACGCUCAGGUGCGAAAGCGUGGGGAGCAAACAGG
rnacentral:rRNA from 1 species